rnacentral:rRNA from 1 species
AUCGAACGCUGGCGGCGUGCUUAACACAUGCAAGUCGAACGGAAAGGCCCUGCUUUUGUGGGGUGCUCGAGUGGCGAACGGGUGAGUAACACGUGAGUAACCUGCCCUUGACUUUGGGAUAACUUCAGGAAACUGGGGCUAAUACCGGAUAGGAGCUCCUGCUGCAUGGUGGGGGUUGGAAAGUUUCGGCGGUUGGGGAUGGACUCGCGGCUUAUCAGCUUGUUGGUGGGGUAGUGGCUUACCAAGGCUUUGACGGGUAGCCGGCCUGAGAGGGUGACCGGCCACAUUGGGACUGAGAUACGGCCCAGACUCCUACGGGAGGCAGCAGUGGGGAAUAUUGCACAAUGGGCGGAAGCCUGAUGCAGCAACGCCGCGUGCGGGAUGACGGCCUUCGGGUUGUAAACCGCUUUCGCCUGUGACGAAGCGUGAGUGACGGUAAUGGGUAAAGAAGCACCGGCUAACUACGUGCCAGCAGCCGCGGUGAUACGUACGGUGCGAGCGUUGUCCGGAUUUAUUGGGCGUAAAGGGCUCGUAGGUGGUUGAUCGCGUCGGAAGUGUAAUCUUGGGGCUUAACCCUGAGCGUGCUUUCGAUACGGGUUGACUUGAGGAAGGUAGGGGAGAAUGGAAUUCCUGGUGGAGCGGUGGAAUGCGCAGAUAUCAGGAGGAACACCAGUGGCGAAGGCGGUUCUCUGGGCCUUUCCUGACGCUGAGGAGCGAAAGCGUGGGGAGCGAACAGGCUUAGAUACCCUGGUAGUCCACGCUGUAAACGGUGGGUACUAGGUGUGGGGUCCAUUCCACGGGUUCCGUGCCGUAGCUAACGCUUUAAGUACCCCGCCUGGGGAGUACGGCCGCAAGGCUAAAACUCAAAGGAAUUGACGGGGCCCCGCACAAGCGGCGGAGCAUGCGGAUUAAUUCGAUGCAACGCGUAGAACCUUACCUGGGUUUGACAUGGAUCGGGAGUGCUCAGAGAUGGGUGUGCCUCUUUCGGGGUCGGUUCACAGGUGGUGCAUGGCUGUCGUCAGCUCGUGUCGUGAGAUGUUGGGUUAAGUCCCGCAACGAGCGCAACCCUUGUUCACUGUUGCCAGCACGUUAUGGUGGGGACUCAGUGGAGACCGCCGGGGUCAACUCGGAGGAAGGUGGGGAUGACGUCAAGUCAUCAUGCCCCUUAUGUCCAGGGCUUCACGCAUGCUACAAUGGCUGGUACAGAGAGUGGCGAGCCUGUGAGGGUGAGCGAAUCUCGGAAAGCCGGUCUCAGUUCGGAUUGGGGUCUGCAACUCGACCUCAUGAAGUCGGAGUCGCUAGUAAUCGCAGAUCAGCAACGCUGCGGAAAUACGUUCCCGGGGCU